UACGUAGGGGGCUAGCGUUGUCCGGAAUCAUUGGGCGUAAAGAGCGCGUAGGCGGUCCGAUAAGUCGGCUGUGAAAGUCCAGGGCUCAACCCUGGAAAGCCGGCCGAUACUGUCGGACUAGAGUCCGGAAGAGGCAAGUGGAAUUCCCGGUGUAGCGGUGAAAUGCGCAGAUAUCGGGAGGAACACCAAUGGCGAAGGCGACUACCUGGCCUGUUCUUGACGCUGAGGCGCGAAAGCUAGGGGAGCAAACGGG
rnacentral:rRNA from 1 species